GUGGGGAAUCUUCCGCAAUGGACGAAAGUCUGACGGAGCGACGCCGCGUGAGUGAUGAAGGCCUUCGGGUCGUAAAGCUCUGUCAUCGGGGACGAACGGCCUCAGCAGGUAAUGGCUGGGGAUUGACGGUACCCGAGAAGGAAGCCACGGCUAACUACGUGCCAGCAGCCGCGGUAAUACGUAGGUGGCAAGCGUUGUCCGGAAUUAUUUGGCGUAAAGCGCGCGCAGGUGGGAUCUUAAGUCCAUUUUGAAAGUUCGGAGCUCAACUCCGUGAUGGGAUGGAAACUGGGAUUCUUGAGUACCGGAGAGGAAAGCGGAAUUCCCCGUGUAGCGGUGAAAUGCGUAGAUAUGGGGAGGAACACCAGUGGCGAAGGCGGCUUUCUGGACUGUAACUGACACUGAGGCUCGAAAGCCAGGGGAGCGAACGGGAUUAGAAACCCCUGUAGUCC
rnacentral:rRNA from 1 species